UCCCUCUUAGCUCAGUGGUAGAGCGCUUCACUAGUAUAACCCUCGGAGAAGUUGAUAAUAAUGAAGAGGUCAGUCGUUCAAGUCGGCUAGAGGGAA